AACAAACUCAUUUCCCAUCUGAAUCCAUCUGAUCUCCACCUGCUUCCCCAUUCCCCAAUCCGCAAAUCCACCCUAAUCCAUCUGCAUCCUCCAACCGAAUCCGACUGAACUCCACCUGCUUCCCCAUCCCUAAGUCACAAAGCCAUCUGACCCCGAGCGAUCUCAUCUACUUCCCCAUUCCCAAAUCAUGAAUCCAUCUGGUUCCCUAAAUUAGGAAUCCACUUGAGCAUCACUUUGCCAAACACAUAAAGCAAGGAGAUCAAGAACCAAAAGGGGGGAAAGGAAGGAGAUCUAAAGAUGAACAUUAGCUUACUCUUGCAGAUACAGCCUAGAGCAUACACCUAUGUAUUGUGUGUGAGAAUUUCGAGGAUAUGGAAAUUCCGAGGAAGAAACAAUGAUGACCUAGUCAAGCAUCUUGACCUUUUCAUCAUAGAUCAUAAGGUACUAAUUGCUGAUCAACUGUGAUCUUUGGUUA